rnacentral:rRNA from 1 species
CCUACGGGAGACAGCAGUGAGGAAUAUUGGUCAAUGGACGAGAGUCUGACCCAGCCAAGUAGCGUGAAGGAUGACUGCCCUAUGGGUUGUAAACUUCUUUUAUAUGGGAAUAAAAUGUUCCACGUGUGGGAUUUUGUAUGUACCAUAUGAAUAAGGAUCGGCUAACUCCGUGCCAGCAGCCGCGGUAAUACGGAGGAUCCGAGCGUUAUCCGGAUUUAUUGGGUGUAAAGGGAGCGUAGGUGGAUUGGUAAGUCAGUUGUGAAAGUUUGCGGCUCAACCGUAAAAUUGCAGUUGAAACUGGCAGUCUUGAGUACAGUAGAGGUGGGCGGAAUUCGUGGUGUAGCGGUGAAAUGCUUAGAUAUCACGAAGAACUCCGAUUGCGAAGGCAGCUCACUGGACUGCAACUGACACUGAGGCUCGAAAGUGUGGGUAUCAAACAGGAUUAGAUACCCCUGUAGUC